ACAGAAGUUUCUUUGCAGAUGAUGUGUUGUCCGCAGGCUGGAUCUUGGGUGUCCUGCAGACUCAUUCUCAUCUGCCCUCCUUCAUGACCUACCAGGCACAGCAGGUGGUACUAGCACUGUCAGACAUGCAGGGGGCGCCUCUGAGUCCAACACAGGCAGUUCUGCUGUUCCAGCGCUGUCACCUCCUGCUGCUGUGUCUGCAGCACAGCAGUCUGCUGGCUCAGCACCUAACAUCACGUCUGAGCGAGGAAUUCAGGUUUGUUGUCUGAUUAUUUCAGGACAACUUUAACAAGCAUAUUAUUAUAUCAUUUAAGAAAUUCUAAUGAAACAUCUCCUGGUUGUUCUUUCUUUAACAUUCCAAAAACAAAAAAUUAGUCUUUAAAACUGGG